AUUUAUUCAAGAACGUUCUGCAAAGCGUUCCCGAUUUUAUAUUGGACUAGAGUCAAAGAAUGGCAUUUAUUAUGAGUGGCAAUCUAAAAAUACCACAGAAUCAAACGGGUUUAACGAUUGGAACAAGGGAAAGCCAAAUGACAUUGGAGUUAACACUUGUGCUUUUGUGUUAGAUUUUAAGUGGUAUGACUUAUAUAGCAGCGCUUGCAGGCUUGAUGAUCAUUAUUUUAUAUGUGAAUCAAGGUUUGACUAACUACCAUGACGACAAUGACCAGACAAUGAGAACAUACC